AUGAUUAGGCACUCCCUAACUGCACCUGGAACUCCUGCUACCUGGAUACCAGAACUGUGCAGUCUCGAAGAACCAAAUUCUGAGGAGAGUCAUUGUUCUCACCUAAUCCAAACUUCCACAGAAACCAGUGGGCAUCUGUUUGCGGAAAUGGGAAGAGGUCACAAUCCUCUGAAUGAAGAGCACUGGAUUUCAAAGCUUUCACACAAACUCUAG
rnacentral:lncRNA from 1 species